GCUGGGAAAUCCCCUGGGAAAUUCUUUUACAUGUAUAUCUGUGCUGUAAACAAGGACAAAGCAGUUAAACUACGAGACGUUGCAAGUAAACCGACAAGAGUUCAAGAGUUCUAAAUUUCACACAAUGUGAGCCAAAAAUUAGACAUGGGAAAGAAAUUAUUUCAGAUACAACCCCUCCAACAAUUGGGUCUACAUCUGGGUGUUCCUUGGUAAUCUAUUGACCACUACCAUCAGAGAAGUGCUGCAUGCUCUAGACAGAUUUGAAAACAGGAAAGCUGAAGGCAUUGCUGGGGUUAUCUUGUUCAGCAUACUGUGGUUUAUCCUACUGGUUCCACCGAUAUGGAUCACAGUGCAGUAUAUUUCACCAGACUGGUUUCAGAAGCUUACAUGCCAGAUAAAAAAACAAGAAGUUACCUCAUACUUGUUAAUCGUUACAUGGGUAGAAACUACUCUGGUGUCAAUGCCCUACUACAUAGGUGAUAAUUUGUACCCAACUGUUAGGGACUACGGCACACAUAUUAAAUGCUAUGAAGUUUGUCAAAGGAACUGUCUAAUUACAUCCUUAGUGUUUUCGUGCUUCGCUACAAUAGUGCUUUUCUUUUCAAAUUCAGCUCUAAGUGAGUUACUUGAAAGCUGGGAGAUUAAAGACAAAGAACAGAAAAAUCAAAAUCUGUCAAAUAAAGCAGCAAAAAUGAUAACCUACAUCAUCAAAAUUGACAUUGUCUAUACCACAGUCAUUGGAAUGGGAACAUCUUUUGGACUAGUGGAUACUAGCAAAAAUUUCUGUGCUCACGGCAGUGUAGUCUAUGGAUCUCUUGCUCUUGUGGCAUGUUACAUUGUUGGGUUGAUUGUUGAGUGGUUCACAUGCAUAGUUAUAGUUCGUAGGUCCGCUAAUGACAAGGUUUGCUGCAGUAUGACAAUUGUGACUAUAGUAGCAAGCAUACUACUUGUGGUAUUCAUAAUGGCUGACAAUCAUCUCCCCUCGAAUACCACCUCUGCUACUUCCCACUUAACGAGACACAACGUACUGAUGCAGCACAAAGAAUCAGUGGAGUGAGAGCUGGUAUGAGUGGAUUCUGCUUCGUGACUGCAUCAAUAAUCUGUCUUAUUAUAGGCUGUUUAAGUCCUUCCUGUACAUGUAAGCAUGUAAUCAACUCUACAACUAACAUCAACUCUACAACUACAUGUACUUCUUCAGCAUGAUUGAUUAAUUCGAACACAACUUAACUAUGCCCAUAGCACAUUUACACGUUGUGGGGUGGAAAGAUGACUUAUAAUUAAUUGCUGAAAUAAAAAUGAGUUUAUGUUAA